rnacentral:rRNA from 1 species
CCUACGGGUGGCAGCAGUGGGGGAUAUUGCACAAUGGGGGGAACUCUGAUGCAGCGACGCCGCGUGGGUGAAGAAGCGCCUCGGCGCGUAAAGCCCUGUCAGCACGGAGGAAAAUGACGGUACCCGAAGAAGACGCCCCGGCUAACUCCGUGCCAGCUGCGGCGGUAAUACGGAGGGGGCAAGCGUUAUCCGGAUUUACUGGGUGUUAAGGGGGCGCAGACGGCGAUGCAAGUCAGGAGUGAAAGCCCGGGGUGCAACCCCGGGACUGCGCUUGGAACUGCUUGGCUGGAGUGCAGGAGGGGCAGGCGGAAUGUCUGGUGUAGCGGGGAAAUGCGUAGAGAUCA